AGAGUCUUCUAAAGGUUAUUCUUGGAGGCUCCAAGUAUGCACUUGAAGGAGAAGCAUGUAUUUCACAGCAGUGCUUAAGAAGUGGUUGCUAUGUUGGUAGAGUAGGAUAUUGCGAUGAAGCGAAGUGUGGGACAUUGUCUAAUGCCUCUAAUGGAGUAUACAAGCAGUCUGAGCUGGCCUUCCAACUAAUACAAGAAGCAGCGAAUGAGCUUGUAGGGGAAGACUAUAAAUCGAGAGCCAAUAAUUCUAGUGUUGGACUGUGAAGUGCAGAUGCUUCCAUGGGAGAAUUUACCAGUAUUAAGAAACCAGGAGGUUUAUCGCAUGCCUUCCGUUGGCAGCAUCUCUGCAACACUUGAUAGAAGCCACCACCGGCAAGAGCAAGUUGGGAGGAUUUGUAGCACCUUUCCUUUGAUAGAUCCCGUGGAUGCAUUUUACUUGUUGAAUCCCAGUGGUGAUCUCAGCAGCACCCAAGUUGAAUUUGAGAACUGGUUUAGAGAUCACAACUUGGAGGGGAAGGCUGGAUCUGCACCGACUGCUGAAGAAUUGGUUGCGGCCUUGAAAAGCCAUGAUCUCUUUAUUUAUUUUGGUCAUGGAAGUGGUGUGCUCAAUUAAAAAAAUUAAUCACAGUGAUUUCAUAUAUUCUUCCUUUAAAGUAUGUUGAAUUUUAGUUCUGUAUGUUGAUGCAGGAGCACAGUACAUUCCUAGGCAUGAGAUUCAAAAUUUGAAAACUGUGCUGCUACUCUUCUGAUGGGAUGCAGUAGUGGUUCUUUGACGCUAAAUGGAAGUUAUGUUCCACAAGGAACUCCACUAUCCUAUCUGCUAGCUGGUUCUCCUGUCAUUGUUGCCAAUCUAUGGGAAGUGACAGACAAGGAUAUUGACCGAUUUGGGAAGGCCAUGCUUGAUGCUUGGUUAAGAGAAAGAUCAAGUCC